GGUUCAUGAAAAACAACAAGUCAACCACCUCGGUAGCUUGCUAGCCAACGUAGCCGAAAGAUUCAAGCUGUUUUUACGCUUUCGGUGUAUAUUAGCUGCUGUGUUUUAGACACACUUCUAUCGUAUCUACUUGUUAACCUAUUUAAUUUAAUAUGACGUUAUUUUUUAUUAGUCAGAUAUAGUAGCUGGCUGGUUAAAUUAGCAGUAGCUUAGUCGCUAAUGAUAGCUAGCUAGCUAAUAUCCCCGAACAUGAGGUCAGUAAGCUUCUCCCCUCCUGCCAAAGAAGAAGAGGUCUGCUGGACGGAGAAAGAAGCUCUGGGCCUGAACAUUGUCGUGAAAGAGGAGAAGGAAGAGGAGGAUGUCACCGUUAAAAAAUAAAUUGAGGGCGAGGCUGUUACAGUGAAAGAGGAAGAAGCGUUCACAGUGAAAGAGGAGGAUGAGAAAGAGAUGCCGUUUUUGACGUGAAGAAGGAAGGGGAGAUUUCUGUCACAUUGAAAGAUGAAGAGGUGGAGGUAGGAGAUCUGAUUUACAUCAAAGAGAGACGUGACUAUCGUGUAUCCUCUGGGGAGCCUCAACAACAUCAUGAAGCUGACGAGGCAGAGAAGAGUCCCUCCCGAUCAGAACACCUCAAGAAACACCAGCAGAGACCCACAGGGAAGAAAUCUCACUGCUCUGACUGUGGGAAAAGUUGCAAAUCUUCAUCAGAACUUAAAAUACACCAGCGAGUACACACAGGAGAGAAAUCUCACCACUGUUUUGAUUGUGGGAAGAUUUACUUAAGAUCAGAAUCACUAAAAGUACACAUGAGAAUUCACACUGGAGAGAAACCUUAUAGCUGUACCCAAUGUGGGAAGAUGUUUAAUCACUCAAGCUGCCUGAUAGUACAUCUGAGAGCACACACAGGAGUGAAACCUUAUAGCUGUCAUCAAUGUGGGAAGAGGUUUACUCACUCAAGCUGCCUGAUAGUACAUCUGAGAGCACACACCGGAGAGAAACCUUACAACUGCGCUGACUGCGGAAAGAGUUUUGUUAGUUCAACAAAUUUAAAAUCACACAAGAAAAUACACAUAGUAGAGAAACCUUUUAACUGUACUCAAUGUGGGAAGAGGUUUAAUCACUCAAGCUGGCUGAUAGUACAUCUGAGAGCACACACAGGAGUGAAACCUUAUAGCUGUGAUCAAUGUGGGAAGAGAUUUGUUACAUCUAGCCAUCUGACUAUACACCAGAGAACACACAUAGGAGAGAAAUCUUAUAGCUGUGAUCAAUGUCACAAGAGAUACUCUGAUAAAAUAUCUCUGAUCAAACAUCAGAAAAUACAUACAUGAAGUAGUUGUUUCAUGAUAUCAAUGAAAUGUCACAAUGUAGAAUAUUUGAAUGAUGUCACAAUGUAGAAUGUUUUAACAUUGUAGUAGGAAUACAAAGGAUUUGAAUUUGAUAAAAGUCCAUAUUGAUACAGAAACAUGUAGUGGGUCUAAAGUUUGUUUUAAAUUAUCACUCAUUAAACACGAAUCAAUCAACACAUGCUUCUCUUUGAAGGACUUAACAUAAUAUUACACUUUUAUGAAAUAAAUGAAAAUAAACUUUUGGUUCCUCAACUGCGUUGCCCACUCCAGUCAGCAGAAAGAGACGCAGCAGAAGUGCCUCUUUUUAUAUUUGAUUUGAUUUAUAUAUUUUUUUAUUCAAAAUGCAGAUCUACAAUUUACAUUGUUACAUCAUACAGAACAGAACACAGGUAUUAAAGAGAAAAUACUAAAACAGACAAAACAUAUAAAUAAUUAACUAUUCUAGUGUAGUUGUAAUCACUCUGAAAAAAUCUAUAAUGAUUCAGGAAGAUGUUAUUGUUGUUGUUAUUCACUAGGAUUAAUGUUUUAAUAAAAUAGUUAAAUUCAAUCAGAAAAAUGUGUAAUUUUGGUAUAGAAUUUUGGAAUUUUUGUUUGUGUAUAAAGUAUUUGUCAACAAGAAUAAAAGAAAUGAACAAUCA